rnacentral:rRNA from 1 species
UACGUAGGGUGCAAGCGUUGUCCGGAAUUAUUGGGCGUAAAGAGCUCGUAGGCGGUCUGUCGCGUCGGCUGUGAAACCCGGGGCUCAACCCCGGGCCUGCAGUCGAUACGGGCAGACUAGAGUGCGGUAGGGGAGACUGGAAUUCCUGGUGUAGCGGUGAAAUGCGCAGAUAUCAGGAGGAACACCGGUGGCGAAGGCGGGUCUCUGGGCCGUAACUGACGCUGAGGAGCGAAAGCGUGGGGAGCAAACAGG